rnacentral:tRNA from 2 species
GGCUCCUUGGUCAAGUGGUUAAGACACCGCCCUUUCACGGCGGUAACACGGGUUCGAGUCCCGUAGGAGUCA